UGACAACUGCAAUACUGCCUACAAAUUUUUUUUGCUUAUCCCUUUCAUCCAUACCUGAACCCACCACCUUUAACCAAGCAACCAAGCAUGCUUGUUGGCUUCAGGCUAGGCAGACUGAAUUAAAGGCUCUUGAGGAUACCAACACAUGUACAAAGCGCGCUUAGCCGCCAAAGGUUACACCCAACUCGAAGGAGUGGAUUACUCGCUUUGGCUUCCAUCAAAUGCUGGCAUCUCGAACAACUACACGUUAAUAACGCCUUCUUACACAGGGAUUUACACGAGGACGUCUAUAUGGCACUUCCUCAAUGUUACGAUCUCUUCCAUUCCUCUUCCCCCUCACAGGUUUGCAAACUUAAUAAGAGUCUCUAUGGCCUUAAAUAAGCCAGCCGCAAAUGGUACUUCAAGUUGUCUGAAUCCUUAAUAUCUCUAAGUUAUAAUCAUUCACAUGCUGAUUAUUCGCUAAUUACCAAAUGCCAUGAUAAUACCUUUACGGCUUUACUUGUUUAUGUCGACGAUAUAGUUUUAACAGGUAAUUAUCUCCCAGAAAUCCAAUAUGUCAAAGCUUACUUCAUCACCAAAUCCGUAUCAAAGACUUGGGCCCCCUUCGAUACUUCCUUGGUCUCGAAGUAGCUCGCUCUCAAACUGGUACUUUCAUUAACCAACGUGACUAUACUCUAGACUUACUCAAUAAAAUAGGUAUCCAAACUCUCUCCUACCCCUUACAACUCAUCUCUUCCACUACACUCCGAUACUUCACAACCGUAUCUGGAUGUCACGCAAUAUCGUAGACUUAUAGGACAGCUUACUUAUUUAACAACCACGUGGUCGGACAUUUCCUUUGCUGUCUAACAAGUCAGCCAGUUUGUUUCAAACCUGACUAUCACUCACUAUCAGGCAGCUUUGUGUAGAUUACAAUAGUUAAAAACCAGUCCAGCUCUGGGCUUAUUUUAUCCUGCUGCUACUGAUUCAUCCCUUUCAGGUUUUGUAGAUCGCGACUAGGCUACUUGCCAAGGACGCACAUAUUUGUCACGGGCAUUGCCAUCUUCUUAGGCAAAUCAUUAAUCUCCUGGAAGUCCAAGAAACAAACAACAAUUUCUCGCUCCAGUUUCGAGGCUGAGUAUCGCGCCCAAGGCAACCUCACCUGCGAAGUGCAAUGGCUGCAUUACUUGUUUAAGGAUCUCCGCAUCACUUUUCCCAAACCCACUUCCCUCUACCGUGACAAUCAAUCAGCUGCGUAUCUUGCAUACAUCCAACUUUUCACGAACGAUCAAAACAUAUAGAGAUAUAUUGCCAUCUCAUUCGCGAAAAGCUGGGAUCUGGAAUCAUCAAGCUCUGUCAUAUUCCUUCUACUGCUCAAAUUGCCGACGUACUCAUAUAACCUCUAGCCAAUCCUUCAUUUUAUACUUUUCUUCUCAAGCUUGGCCUUUUGACUUUGCAUAGUCCAGCUUGUGAGGGAGUAUUAAAUCAUAAAUAGUCCUUUAUUGUUAUUUAGUUUUGCCUUGACUUAUUCUUUAUUUUUUCACGUUUUCCUUGCCUUGUGUAUAUAUAAACACACCAUACAUUGUCUUGUAGAAAUAUCUUCUUUUUAUUGAUGAAAUUUUGUUUUCUGCAAUUCUAAUAUAUCAUAAUACUGAUUUUUCUUGUGUUA